UAACACAUGCAAGUCGAGCGCUCUCUUCGGAGGGAGCGGCAGACGGGUGAGUAACGCGUGGGAACAUACCUAAUAGUACGGAAUAACAGUUGGAAACGACUGCUAAUACCGUAUACGCCCUUAGGGGGAAAGGGUGGUCGCUAUUAGAUUGGCCCGCGUUGGAUUAGCUAGUUGGUGAGGUAACGGCUCACCAAGGCGACGAUCUAUAGCUGGUCUGAGAGGAUGAUCAGCCACACUGGGACUGAGACGCGGCCCAGACUCCUACGGGAGGCAGCAGUGGGGAAUAUUGGACAAUGGGCGCAGCCUGAUCCAGCCAUGCCGCGUGAGUGUAUGAAGGCCUUAGGGUUGUAAAGCUCUUUCGCUAGGGAAGAUAAUGACGGUACCUAGUAAGGAAGCCCCGGCUAACUUCGUGCCAGCAGCCGCGGUAAUACGAAGGGGGCUAACGUUGUUCGGAUUUACUGGGCGUAAAGCGUACGUAGGCGGAUUAGAAAGUAAGGGGUGAAAUCCCGAGGCUCAACCUCGGAACUGCCUCUUAAACUUCUAGUCUAGAGAUCGGGAGAGGUGUAUGGAACUCCUAGUGUAGAGGUGGAAUUCGUAGAUAUUAGGAAGAACACCAGUGGCGAAGGCGAUACACUGGCCCGAUACUGACGCUGAGGUACGAAAGCGUGGGGAGCAAACAGGAUUAGAUACCCUGGUAGUCCACGCCGUAAACUAUGAGAGCUAGCCGUUGGGAAGUUUACUUUUCAGUGGCGCAGCUAACGCAUUAAGCUCUCCGCCUGGGGAGUACGGUCGCAAGAUUAAAACUCAAAUGAAUUGACGGGGGCCCGCACAAGCGGUGGAGCAUGUGGUUUAAUUCGAAGCAACGCGAAGAACCUUACCAGCUCUUGACAUACCUAUCGCAGUCUUCAGAGAUGAAGACCUCAGUCGGCUGGAUAGGAUACCAGGUGCUGCACGGCUGUCGUCAGCUCGUGUCGUGAGAUGCCGGGUUAAGUCCCGCAACGAGCGCAACCCUCGCCCUUAGUUGCCAGCAUUUAGUUGGGCACUCUAGGGGGACUGCCGGUGAUAAGCCGGAGGAAGGUGGGGACGACGUCAAGUCAUCAUGGCCCUUACGGGCUGGGCUACACACGUGCUACAAUGGCGGUGACAGAGGGCAGCCACUCCGCGAGGAGGAGCUAAUCCCUAAAAACCGUCUCAGUUCGGAUUGCACUCUGCAACUCGGGUGCAUGAAGUUGGAAUCGCUAGCCAUCGUGGGUCAGCAUACCACGGUGAAUACGUUCCCGGGCCUUGUACACACCGCCCGUCACACCAUGGGAGUUGGUUCUACCCGAAGGCGUCGCGCUAACCGCAAGGAAGCAGACGACCACGGUAGGGUCAGCGACUGGGGUG
rnacentral:rRNA from 1 species